rnacentral:rRNA from 1 species
AGCGAACGCUGGCGGCAGGCUUAACACAUGCAAGUCGAGCGGGCAUCCUUGUGGUGUCAGUGGCAGACGGGUGAGUAACGCGUGGGAACGUGCCCUUCGGUUCGGAAUAACUCAGGGAAACUUGAGCUAAUACCGGAUACGUGCGAGAGCAGAAAGGUUUAUCUGCCGAAGGAUCGGCCCGCGUCUGAUUAGCUAGUUGGUGAGGUUACGGCUCACCAAGGCGACGAUCAGUAGCUGGUCUGAGAGGAUGAUCAGCCACACUGGGACUGAGACACGGCCCAGACUCCUACGGGAGGCAGCAGUGGGGAAUAUUGGACAAUGGGGGCAACCCUGAUCCAGCCAUGCCGCGUGAGUGAUGACGGCCUUAGGGUUGUAAAGCUCUUUUCUCCGGGACGAUAAUGACGGUACCGGAGGAAUAAGCCCCGGCUAACUUCGUG